GGGUGCAGUAUGGAACCUCAGAAGGCCGCGAGUGCCUCCCAAGAAGUCUGUUAGCGAGCUUGAGUGGGGCCAGCAUGGGCCAGCUUUGGUUCGCCCCAGUGUCGUGGGCUGGGGGCAGACAGGAAGAUUCAAAACCAUGGUGGGUCCAUCAGGCAGUAGCUAGAGGCCGUCAGUCCACCAAAUUUCCUGCAGCAGUGCUGGUGAAGGAGAUCCAAGUAAGCACUUCCCUGGUCCUUCCAGGAGUCCUCGAUUGAGACAGAGAGACAUACGCAUCACAGCUGCCUCGCAAGCCUGUGGACUAGCCCUUGGGGGUUAGCUGGCCUUUCCGUGUCCAGUCAGCCAUAUCCGGGCUGGCAGGAAGCAGCCAUGCAUGGCUCCAGAGGGAGGGCCAUGAUGAGUGGCUGCGUACCACCCACGUGCCCAGGACAGCAGAGAGAUGGUUGACAGAAUACAAGGAUGCACGAGAUGCAGGACAAAAGGAGGGAGGUAACUAAUUGCUCAAAAAAAGUGGUCAGGGAAGGGGGUCAAUGACAAGGGGAUACAGCAAAAUGGGUUUUGCAGCAUCAUUGGAAUUUCUUUUACACGUGGGAGGAUGCACGGCGAAUCUGUAUGGAGCCCUGGAUUCAUACCCUAGCUCUGUCAGUUAUCAGCUGUGUGACUUUGGAAAGAGUCAGGAAAUACAGGGAAAGAAAGGUGGGAGCCUGUGUUUCCGAAGGCAGGUCCCUCAGGAAGUCCCGUGACUGACUUUUUGUAUGAUGUUGGGCUCUUCUCCCGCGAGCUGCUAUCUGAAGACUCAGAAGGAAGCUUCCUGCUGUCGGGACAUGGGCUGCAACAUCUGGAGCUGGGCCCCGGUGAGAAUCAGUUGAAAUCACGUGUGUGAAAGAGCUUGUCCACGGAGCAUCACCCCCGAUGGCUGCUGUUCAAUCUGCUUGGGAACUCCCUUCCAUUACUGAUUCAUGUGAUUCUGGUUGGCUGCUAAUCACGGUCUUUCUCUCCUGGGCCAAAAUAGUGAGAAAGGAACCCAGGUUUGGCCAAACAUAGCCCCCAGUUUUCUUGACCACAGUGAUUUGUCCGGGUCAUGACCACAGGACCCACACAGGCUGGGCCAAUGGGAGAUCCUCUCUAGGGAAGGCUCCCUCGCCCGGGUUUACCAGCUGGGAGGGGUUCAGCAGAGAGCUCUUUGCAGCCCUGGGUUGUGAAUGGAGAAAGCAAGAGUCUUGUAACUUAGAGAGAGAAGCUCUGACUUCUUGUGUCUGAGACCAGUUCCACCUAAAUUCUCCAGAGAUACACAAAUUAUGUUUGCUAAAAUCUUAAAAAAUUCCCUUUUUCCCUUAAGCUGAUUUAAGUUGCCGUCUGAAAUCAUCCCUAAUAAAAUACUCUCUGUAAGUAACUUAUCAUUAUCCAAGAGACUCUUUCAAUGGGUUUCAAGAGCUUAUAUAGAGUUUCUAGCCAGGAACAAUGCCACUUGAAACCCU